UCUUCCGUAGUAUAGUGGUCAGUAUGUGAGCUUGUCAUCUUCAGACGUCAACGCUCGAGACCCGGGUUCAAUUCCCGGCGGGAGAG
rfam:Podospora anserina genomic DNA, chromosome 4.